rnacentral:rRNA from 1 species
GUGGGGAAUCUUGCACAAUGGAGGAAACUCUGAUGCAGCGACGCCGCGUGAGCGAUGAAGCCCCUCGGGGUGUAAGGCUCUUUCGACGGGAACGAUAAUGACGGUACCCGGAGAAGAAGCUGCGGCUAACUACGUGCCAGCAGCCGCGGUAAUACGUAGGCAGCAAGCGUUGUUCGGAAUUACUGGGCGUAAAGAGUGUGUAGGCGGUGCUCUAAGUUCGGUGUGAAAUCUCCCGGCUUAACUGGGAGGGUGCGCCGGAAACUGGAGUGCUUGAGCGCGGGAGAGGAAAGCGGAAUUCCUGGUGUAGCGGUGAAAUGCGUAGAUAUCAGGAGGAACACCUGUGGUGUAGACGGCUUUCUGGACCGUAGCUGACGCUGAGACACGAAAGCGUGGGUAGCAAAC